UGGCGCUCGGAGCGGCCGCAAGGUCGCGCCGGCGUGCCGGAAGAUGACCAAACUUGAUCAUUUAGAGGAAGUAAAAGUCGUAACAAGGUUUCCGUAGGUGAACCUGCGGAAGGAUCAUUACCGAACGGUUUUCGUAACCGAAUCUCAGUCCCCAACUGAGGCUAGUUCGUUCCUGCAGGGACGAACGUUCGAACGUUCCUCUUCCGAGGGGGUCCGGUUCUGGGGGUACCUGGUCCUGUCUUGCACGCCAGUGCGAGAGGGGUGCCUCUUCCGAGGCGCUAGGUUUAAUGAGAGGUCGUUCUAGCCUCCGCCCCCCCGAGAACCUCUCGGAGCACGUCUCUCUCGGAGUCGUGGGCUGCGAAGGGCCCCGGGCCUCCCCUGCCAUGGGAGCGUCCACUCCUUGAGGCGUGUUUAAAGUUGUGAAAAACCUUCGCACUCUUCUCCUCCGAGAAGGGUUGGUCUUUUACUCGUGUUUGGUUAUUCGAAAGGGACUUUGUUCUCUUUGAAAAGAAUGAGAGUACAACUCUGAGCAGUGGAUCACUUGGCUCACGGGUCGAUGAAGAACGCAGCCAGCUGCGAGACUUGGUGUGAAUUGCAGGACACAUUGAGCACUGAUUUUUCGAACGCACAUUGCGGCCUCGGUUCCUACCCGGGGCCUCGCCUGUCUGAGGGUCGGAUGAGACUUGCCGAAGGGGAACCUGUUCCCCUACUUGGUCGCAUCGGGUUUUUUUUCGAAAAACUCGUCGACCUAAGAGCAGAUCGAUAGAUCUCCAGUCCCGACGAGUUCGGCGGCCCGCGGCCGUGGAAUUCGCGCGUUCUAGAGACACGGAACCGCCAGCCGUCGGNGUCCCGUCGUUCUCGUCGUGGGACUUUGUGAAAUGUCGAC
rnacentral:rRNA from 1 species